UACGUAGGGGGCAAGCGUUGUCCGGAAUCAUUGGGCGUAAGGCGCGUGUAGGCGGCCAGAAAAGUCCGCUGUGAAAACUCGAGGCUCAACUUCGAGCUGUCGGUGGAAACUUUCUGGCUAGAGUCCGGAAGAGGAGAAUGGAAUUCCUGGUGUAGCGGUGAAAUGCGCAGAUAUCAGGAAGAACACCCGUGGCGAAGGCGGUUCUCUGGGACGGUACUGACGCUGAGGAGCGAAAGCGUGGGGAGCGAACAGG
rnacentral:rRNA from 1 species